AAAACUUUUACCCCUCAUUUCAACCGUCAUUAACAUAGAUCCGACAGGAUCUAGAAUAGUGCAUCUCUUGUCUUUGAAAUGCAAUGAAUAGUUCUUCUCCAUCAUUUGCCCCACACUUAAAAGACUUUGAUUUAUUUCAGGUACAAAUAAAACAUCGGAGAUAUAUUUGAUACCUGAGGGAGUUUCAACAGCUACAACACCUUUUCCUUUGACAUCAACAUGUUCUCCAUUGCC
rnacentral:lncRNA from 1 species